rnacentral:rRNA from 1 species
AGCUGCAAUAGCGUACAUUGCAGUUGUUGCGGCUACAAAGCUCGUAGUUUGAUUUCUGCUGAGGAUGACCGGUCCGUCCCCUGGAGAGGCAUUUGGCUUAGCCUUGGGAUCUGCCUGGAAAAAACGUAGCUGCGCUUGACUCUGUGGUGACGUAUUUGGGACAUUCACUUUGAGUAAACUAGAGUGUUUCAAGCAAGCGCGCGCUUUCAGUGCAUUGGCAUGGAAUAAUAAAAUAGGACCUCGGUUUUAUUGUGUUGGUUUCUAGAGCUCAAGUAAUGAUUGAGAGGGAUAGUUGGGGGCAUUCGUAUUUCAUUGUCAGAGGUGACAUUCUUGCAUUUGUGAAAGACGGACUACUGCGAAAGCAUUUGCCAAGGAUGUUUUCA